rnacentral:rRNA from 1 species
CCCUUAGAUGUUCUGGGCCGCACGCGCGCUACAAUGAUGAAUUCAACGAGUUUAUAACCUUGGUUGAAAAGCCUGGGUAAUCUUUUGAACUUUCGUCGUGAUGGGGCUAGACCCUUGCAAUUAUUGGUCUCCAACGAGGAAUUCCUAGUAAACGCAAGUCAUCAGCUUGCAUUGAUUACGUCCCUACCCUUUGUACACACCGCCCGUCGCACCUACCGAUUGAAUGGUCCGGUGAAAUCUUCGGAUUGAGACUUUGAUUUCUUCACGGAAAACGCUGUUUUAAAAAGUUGAUUAAACCUUACCAUUUAGAGGAAGGUGAAGUCGUAACA